rnacentral:rRNA from 1 species
ACGGGGUGCAGCAGGCGCGAAACCUCCGCAAUACACGAAAGUGUGACGGGGUUACCCAAAGUGUUCAAUAGAACUGUGGUAGGUGAGUAAUGUUCCCUACUAGAAAGGAGAGGGCAAGGCUGGUGCUAGCCGCCGCGGUAAAACCAGCUCUUCAAGUGGUCGGGAUAAUUAUUGGGCUUAAAGUGUCCGUAGCCGGUUUAGUAAGUUCCUGGUAAAAUCGGGUAGCUUAACUAUCUAUAUGCUAGGAAUACUACUAUACUAGAGGGCGGGAGAGGUCUGAGGUACUACAGGGGUAGGGGUGAAAUCUUAUAAUCCUUGUUGGACCACCAGUGGCGAAGGCGUCAGACUGGAACGCGCCUGACGGUGAGGGACGAAAGCCAGGGGAGCGAACCGGAUUAGAUACCCGGGUAGUCCUGGCCGUAAACGAUGCAUACUAGGUGAUGGCACGGCCAUGAGCCGUGUCAGUGCCGUAGGGAAACCGUUAAGUGUGCCGCCUGGAAGUACGUCGCAAG